rnacentral:tRNA from 1 species
GGAAACGUGCCUGAAGUUAAGGACCUCCUUGAUAGGGAGAAUUAUAGGGGUUCAAACCCCCUCGUUUCC